rnacentral:misc_RNA from 1 species
UAGAGGAAGUAAAAGUCGUAACAAGGUUUCCGUAGGUGAACCUGCGGAAGGAUCAUUACUGAAUUGUCAAACGGGUUGUUGCUGGCCCUCAUAGGGGGCAUGUGCACGCUCUGUUUACACAUCCACUCACACCUGUGCACCCUCUGUAGUUCUAUGGUCUGGGGGACCCUGUCUUCCUUCUGUGGUUCUACKUCUUUACACACACACUGUAAUAAAGUUUUAUGGAAUGUACAUCGCGUCUAACGCAAUACAAUACAACUUUCAGCAACGGAUCUCUUGGCUCUCGCAUCGAUGAAGAACGCAGCGAAAUGCGAUAAGUAAUGUGAAUUGCAGAAUUCAGUGAAUCAUCGAAUCUUUGAACGCACCUUGCGCCCCUUGGCUAUUCCGAGGGGCAUGCCUGUUUGAGUAUCAUGAACACCUCAACUCUCAUGGUUUGCCAUGAUGAGUUGGACUCUGGGGGUUUUGCUGGCCUGUGGUCGGCUCCUCUYAAAUUAAUCAGCCUCCCAGUGUUUGGUGGCAUCAYGGGUGUGAUAAAUAUCUACGCUCGCUGUUGUCUGCCAGGUAACCUUUGGU